GGGCACUUGGCGCAGUUGGUAGCGCGACUGUUUUACACACAGUAGGUCGGGGGUUCGAAUCCCUCAGUGCCCACCA
rnacentral:tRNA from 1 species